GGGCCCGCACAAGCGGUGGAGCAUGUGGUUUAAUUCGACGCAACGCGCAGAACCUUACCAGCCCUUGACAUCCCGGUCGCGGACUCCAGAGACGGAGUUCUUCAGUUCGGCUGGACCGGAGACAGGUGCUGCAUGGCUGUCGUCAGCUCGUGUCGUGAGAUGUUGGGUUAAGUCCCGCAACGAGCGCAACCCCCGUCCUUAGUUGCUACCAUUUAGUUGAGCACUCUAAGGAGACUGCCGGUGAUAAGCCGCGAGGAAGGUGGGGAUGACGUCAAGUCCUCAUGGCCCUUACGGGCUGGGCUACACACGUGCUACAAUGGCGGUGACAAUGGGAAGCGAAGGGGCAACCCCUAGCAAAUCUCAAAAAGCCGUCUCAGUUCGGAUUGGGCUCUGCAACUCGAGCCCAUGAAGUUGGAAUCGCUAGUAAUCGUGGAUCAGCAUGCCACGGUGAAUACGUUCCCGGGCCUU
rnacentral:rRNA from 1 species